AACGUAGGAGACAAACGUUAUCCGGAGUUACUGGGCGUAAAGGGCGUGUAGGUGGUUCUGUAAGUCUGGCGUGAAAUUUCUCGGCUUAACCGAGGCAGGUCGUCGGAUACUGCAGGGCUAGAGGACGGUAGAGGCGUGUGGAAUUCCGGGUGUAGUGGUGAAAUGCGUAGAGAUCCGGAGGAACACCAGUGGCGAAAGCGACUUCCUGGACCAGUACCGACGUUCAGGCACGAAAGCGUGGGGAGCAAACAGGG
rnacentral:rRNA from 1 species